CUUUAGCCAAUUUAUACUGCAGUAUCCGCACUCCCGUGAGAAUGCCCUCAAUCCUCCGCCCGAGAACGAGGAGCAGGCAUCAGGCACAUACAUUAGCCCAAGACGCCUUGCUAAGCCACACCCCCAAGGGAAUUCAGCAGUAAUAGAUAUUAAGCUAUAAGUGAAAACUUGACUUAGUUAGGGCUAAGAGGGUCGGUAAAAUUCGUGCCAGCCACCGCGGUUAUACGAAAGACCCCAGUUUAUAGCUACGGCGUAAAGGGUGGUUAAGGAACAAACAAAAUAAAGCCGAAGGCCCUCUAAGCCGUCAUACGCUCUCCGAAGGUACGAAACCCAAACACGAAAGUAGCUUUACCAUAAUUAUACCUGACCCCACGAAAGCUGGGAAACAAACUGGGAUUAGAUACCCCACUAUGCCCAGCCUUAAACCUUGAUGUAAACGUACAAAAACAUCCGCCAGGGGACUACGAGCUCAGCUUAAAACCCAAAGGACUUGGCGGUGCCUCAGAUCCACCUAGAGGAGCCUGUUCUAGAACCGAUAAUCCCCGUUAAACCUCACCACCCCUUGUCAACCCCGCCUAUAUACCGCCGUCGUCAGCUUACCCUGUGAAGGCCUAACAGUAAGCAAAAUGAGUAAAACCCAAAACGUCAGGUCGAGGUGUAGCGCACGAGGUGGGAAGAAAUGGGCUACAUUUUCUACCACAGAAUACUACGAAUGGUGCCCUGAAACACAGCACCUGAAGGCGGAUUUAGCAGUAAAAAGAAAAUAGAGUGUCCUUUUGAAUUAGGCUCUGAGGCGCGCACACACCGCCCGUCACUCUCCCCUCAAAAAAUAUUCACCAAACAUAACUAAUACCACGUACAAAACCACGGGGAGGCAAGUCGUAACAUGGUAAGUGUACCGGAAGGUGCACUUGGAAUAAU
rnacentral:ncRNA from 1 species